GUGGUCUUUUUUUUUUGUCAACGAUUUCAUUUCAUAAACUCAAAACAGACUAAUUCGAGAACAAAGUUUGGAUAUAACACUCAAUGUGAAAGCAACAUCAAAACAAGUGGUUGUACAUUGAUUAAAACUGCAAGAUAGUUGAGUGAAAAGAGUGACAAGGUUUCUGAAAAGAAGACCUGUGAUCUUAAUCAUGUCCAGCAACGCAUGGCAGAGAAGAGGACAAUAGAGUCCAAAAUUAACUGAAGACUUGAGAGUCUAUGAGUCUUUGCUGAUUGAAGAGCUUCAAGCAUCCUUAUAGCUUCCUUGGCAAGGGACGAGCCUGCGCUCAACAGAAUAGAGGAGACUUGGGAGUCAUGGGCUUCACCCUUUCCAUUGAUAGAUCACCCAAAACCUCCACUUUUUAAAGUUUUGAACCACAUUCCAUUCACCGAAUCAGUCGGAAGGAUUUAAACAUGAACAGUUAGGGACCCUACAGCUACAAACUCAGAGGCAACAAAGCCUCGCUUUAUGAAGUCUGAAAGCUGUGAAGAGGACCACCACUGCCAAAUGAGUAAACCUGAAACAAUUGGAACCAAAAUCACCAAGGCAAAGGUCCAAAUAACCUCAUACAGCGGUAACAAACUGGUACACCACAGUGUAAUAUCCUCAUACUGAGGUAAAUAGAGUUUCAUAAUGAAACUCACAGAGCCUGCAACAUCCUCAAACUGAGGUAAAAAGAGCUUCAAAAAGAGCACAUCAUCCUCAUUCCAACGUAAAAGGAGACUCUUAUUAAGAUAAUUAAACCCUAACAAAAGACAAGGUUCUAAGAUAAGUGAUUUACUCCAAUAGACUGAGAAACCCAAACCUUGUGGACGCUUGAUGAGGAAUUAAAGAAAAAGAAAAAUAUCAAUUAAUAGAAGAUACAUCUCCUAAAUAGGGGCUGGAAGAACCGUGUCUUAGAAGACACGUGUUACCAUUGUAUGAGAAGGGAAAUAUCCUUUCUCUCUCUCUCUCUCUCUCUCUCUCUCUCUCUCUCAUCAAGCAAUCCCCUUUCUCCCUCUCUCUCAUCAACGCAGAGGAGGCGACGAUCUACGCGACGAACCCUCGUGAGAUAGAGAGGGACAGUGAAAGGGACUCAUGUGUAGAUUAAACGGGUUAUAUUUUGAUGUAAAUAUGAACAUGUUGAAAUCGGUGGACCAACCAAUGGAGAAAUAAACUAUUGUUGGUAAAGCUAACUAAUUAAGACAUUUGAGGAUCAUGAGGUAUAUACACUUAAACCUUUACACAAUGACUUUUAACUUUUCUUGUUCUUAAUUUGACAUUUCUUUUCAUCAAUUAGUUUUUUUUUAUGUUCUCUAUGCAGGAACACAAACAUAGAAAAAGAAAAAAUUAUCCUUGACCAAUGAUAUCAAACUACCCAGAUCACAUCCUCCCAUCCAAACCCUCUACUAUAAACCUAAACCCUAUAUACCAAACCCAAAAUCUAAAACAUCAAACCUAAUCUCAUUUUAAAUCUAUACUACAUAAAUCAUACCUUAAUCUAAUAUUCUAAACCCCAAACUCAAACCCUACAUAUAAAACCAUGAAUCCAAUAUUUUUAAACUUCAAAUAUAUUAUUUAAACAAACUCAAAUUUUUUUCAUGUAAACAAAUAUAUAAUUAAUAUCUAUUCCAAUCUUUCUAAAUUCCGUAGCGAUAAAUAUAAUUUAAGCAAAGCCAAUUAUGGUAAAGUCAUAUAUAAUUUAAUUGAAUGUUUUACAUAAAAUUUAUUAAAGCAUGCGGUCAUGAAUCUAAUUCAUUAUAUAUGCAAAAAAAAAAAAAAAUCUUUGGCCAAAAUUAUAUCUUUCGGCCAAAUUUUUCUUCCUUCCCCGCGCGCAUCUUGACCAAAAUUAAAACGAUAAACAAAAAAAAAAAAAAAAAACUCUUCUAAUUUUUCAUUGGUUGACAAAGUAGCUAAAGGAUUGCUAUCUAGAAUUUUGGACCAUUGAUUAAAUUUGAUCCAAUGGUCAAGAUCACUUUGUGUUUCUUCCUCGUGUCUCUCACUCUCUCUUUUCUUCACAAAGAUCUCAUCUCUCUUUCAUUCCUGAAUCUCGAAUUCUCAAUCACGUUGUUCACCAAAGCUUGUUCGUCACCAAAGCUCAUCACCGUAGCUCGUUUGUCAUCGCCACCACUAAAGGCUCGUCGCUGUCACCACCGAAGCUCUUCGUCCACCACACAUACAAAGAAGAGAAGAGAGGAUGAAGAAGAUCCAGCAAGUUAGAGAGGACGAAGACGAAUACGAUGCUGGAGAGAGACGAAGAAGAUGAAGAAGUUAGCGAUGGGGGAGAGAGCGUGACGAAAGUGGGAGGACGGAAUAUGGUGGCGAGGGUGGAGAUGGACAGCAGAUGGUGGCACCGUCAACUCGAAGCAACGAAGCGGCGGAGAAGACGAUGACCAAUUCUUUUUUUUUAGGUUUAGUUCUUUUUGGGUUAAAUUCUUUAAAAAAGGUUAAUUUGGUUUAGUUUUUUUGUUGUAAUUAAUUUGACUUAGUUUGUAAAUGAGUUUCAAUUUGUAAAGUGGCUUUAAUUUAUAAAUAAAAAUUUAUUCGUAAAUGUCGACAAAAAGAAAAUUUACUCGUAAAUCAGUUUAUUAUAUACCAAAUUUAAUAUAUCAGACAUAUUUAUAUUUUUAUUUGUAACUUAUUUUGUGAUUUGUAAUUUAUAUUUUUUUUAAUAAAAUAUUUUCUACGAUUCAAAAUGUGGUUUUCUGUGGCUAAAUUAGUCACAAAGAUAAUUUUAUGCUAUUUGUAGAUAUUAGCCACAAAUAUAAUUUGUGGAUAGGUCGUAGAAAGAAAGCCGCAAAUAGCAACGAUGGUCUGAUAUCCACGAGCUCAUAGUCAGCGAAUUAUAUUUGUGGCUAUUCGUAGCUAUGAGUGAAAUAGCCACAAAAUUCAAUCAUCAGCCACAAAAUUUAUAGUGGCAAUUCUCAGAUUUUCUUGUAGUGUUGGUAAAGCUGUCAACUUUGAUUAUAUCUCUGGCAAAGAGGAGGUUAUUUGCAUGAGCCAAAAGGUUGUGUAACAUCUCUUAUUGAACAAGGAUGCGCAAGUGUAUCUGUUGUACAUGUCAGAUACAAGACUCCAAUGAAGAGGAACACUUGAAAUCUUCUCAGCAGCAAUCCAAUGGUAUGUUGUUGUUAUCUACAAUGACACCAAUCAAAUGAGUUGACAUUUGGUCGAUGGUGUAGCGGUUGCUCUGAAGAAACUUGAUGUCGCACCUAAAGCUGAAUCAGAUGAUGAGUUCUUGAGUCAGGUUUUCAUGGUGUCUAUGAGAAUCUCAUUCAACUACUUGGUUUUUGUGUUGAUGGAAACCUCCGAGUCCUGGCAUAUGAGUUUGCAGCAAUGGGAUCCUUGCAUGAUAUCUUACAUGGUAGGAAGGGAGUUCAAGGAGCACGAGCUCUUGUAUUAUUGUCUGAAUAGAACUUUUGUAUUCUUGUGUAUUAUCAGUCACAGACUUGUGUAAAGUCAUGCAAGUGUCAUGUAUCAAUUCAAAGUCCAUAGACUUGUGUUAAAGUUUCUAUAUAACUUCACAAUACUCUUGUUCUCUCUUUAA